AUUGAACGCUGGCGGAAUGCUUUACACAUGCAAGUCGAACGGCAGCACGGGGGCAACCCUGGUGGCGAGUGGCGAACGGGUGAGUAAUACAUCGGAACGUGCCCAGUCGUGGGGGAUAACGUAGCGAAAGUUACGCUAAUACCGCGUACGAUCUACGGAUGAAAGCGGGGGACCGUAAGGCCUCGCGCGAUUGGAGCGGCCGAUGUCAGAUUAGGUAGUUGGUGAGGUAAAGGCUCACCAAGCCGACGAUCUGUAGCUGGUCUGAGAGGACGACCAGCCACACUGGGACUGAGACACGGCCCAGACUCCUACGGGAGGCAGCAGUGGGGAAUUUUGGACAAUGGGCACAAGCCUGAUCCAGCCAUUCCGCGUGCAGGACGAAGGCCUUCGGGUUGUAAACUGCUUUUGUACGGGACGAAAAGGCUCUGGUUAAUACCUGGGGCUCAUGACGGUACCGUAAGAAUAAGCACCGGCUAACUACGUGCCAGCCGCCGCAGUAA
rnacentral:rRNA from 1 species